GGAACUUAGUCGAGCAAGGAUCUAGACUGGAGCAGCAGGGCAAAGGCAAAACAGCCGGCUCGACCAGACGAGGUGGGGGAAGACAGGGGCCAGAGUCAGAACAGAUGUGGAUCGGUUUCACUAACAACGUCAAAAUCUUUGUUUCCCUCACCCAAAAACUCUGCAAGACUCUCAGAGAAAGGCAAAGCCUCCCAAGCCAAGGAGCUUGACAAAAAAUGUCUUGGUGCUGCGCCCCAUCCUUUUGCCUUGCUUACCUGGCGUCAUGUUUGCUGUGGGGCUCUGUCUGCCUUUGAUUGGUGACAAAGACUUCUUAACUUUAAAAUCCCUAACUAUUUGCCAAAAUUUGAGUUAGUGGCUAGCCAUUGCUUUUAAUACGAAUUUAAGAAAAAAAACAGAGAAAUUUAAGAUUUUAAAUG